rnacentral:scRNA from 1 species
GAUGAGGAAUAAGUAAUACAAGGGCUCACAGCCCAGGUCCCCUCCAGUGGUUCUGUGGUGGGCCCAGGGGCGGCUGACACGCGGUGAGGCCCCUUCUGUGUCCCUGCUGGGCUCUGGGGAGGCACUGCAGUUGGCGAAGGCCUUUGCGUAUCUGGAGUGCUGGUAGCUGUGGCUGUGACCUGACAUCUGACGCUCAGGCC